CCUACGGGUGGCAGCAGUGGGGAAUAUUGGGCAAUGGACGAGAGCCUGAACCAGCAACGUCGCGUGAGUGAUGACGGUCUUAUGAUUGGAAAGUUCUUUUCUAAGGGGAGAAGAGAGGGACGGUACCUUAGGAAUAAGCCUCGGCGAACUAAGUGCCCGCAGCCGCGGGAAGACGUAGGAGGCGAGCGUUAUACGGAAUGACUGGUCGUAAAGGUGGCGUAGGUGGGUUGGCAAGUUAGUAGCGUAACUCGCAGGCUCAAACUUGGUACUACUACUAAAACUGUUGGACUUGAGUGGAGGAGGGGCAACCGGAAUGCGUAGUGUAGCGGUGGAAUGCGUAGAUAUCAGGAGGAACACCAGUUGCGAAGGCAGGUUGCUGGCCUGUAACUGACGCUGAGGCACGAAAGCGUGGGGAGCAAACAGGAUUAGAUACCCCUGUAGUC
rnacentral:rRNA from 1 species